rnacentral:snoRNA from 1 species
GCGUGGGUUUGGAUUUAUGACAGGCCCGUCCCCCUGGGCCUGUCAUAGUAACCCAUGCCAGAGCAAACUGUGUCCCCAAACCAUUGCCUGGCCUCUGUGCCCGUAGGCUGCUGGCACUGAAGUGGCUUGCACAGUG